UGCCUCAGCCUCCCAAAGUGCUGAGAUUACAGGUCAAGCCAGGAAAUCAGGCUUAUUUUGAUUUUUCUAUUAGGACCAGUGGGUAGAAGUUUCAUCAGUGGGUAGAAGUUGAGGAAGUCUGUUCAAGAGAAGGAAGAACACCCUGUCGGUGACAGUUGGCUAAGGGGCAGGCUGCUUAGCAGGUUAUGAGCUCUCAGAGUCAGACAGAAUGAUCAACUGUCUGGAAUAUCAAUGCUCAGAUUCCUGCUUGGGUUCUAGAUAAGUGGUUUUUAAACUGUGUUUCUGGGGUAGUGAGAUUCCACAGAGGUGCCUGAGGGCCAGCAAGGGAUCCAGUGGGAAGACCAAACCCCUAUCCUAUCUCAUCAUAGUAGCUACAUUUUUAUCUGUUGUACACAUUGGGUUCCAUAGAAUAAUUUAUUUGAUAAAAAGAUUUCUAUAGUUAAACAAUGUUUUAAAACUAGAUAACCACUGAGAUUCAAGUCUGAAUGUUGUGACCCAGGGUCACACCUAAAGGUGUUUAAGUCUUUCUUUCUUUCAGGGUCCUCUUUCCUUUACUAUCCAAAUACCGAUAUAAUGUUGAUUUCAAGGAGUGCUGUUUCCUAUCCCAAAUUUCGAAGAAUUCCUAGAAGUGGUUACAUUUUCCCAGUUAACACCUCUGACCUCCUGCUUCCAAAUGCUGCUCCUUCAUCUCUAGCCGUCUCAUCACAACUUCUUAAUGCUCCCCAAGUCCCAUUCGGUCUGCGCCAUCCCCAAACACAGACACAGUGCGCCUUUGAUGUCUGCCAACAUAGACAUCUUUUAUAAUUGUACCUUGAUGUUAAUAGCUAGCAUUAUUGAACUGCUGUGGCCAUCCACAGGGCCCAAAUAGUUGGGUUUGCUGGUCCAAGUACUUUCUCCCUGCAUCAGCACUGGGCUUCCCUAAUAAACCCUUAUUUGGAGGGAGGGGUUCCUAUCUAUUCAGUCCAACUUCUUACAUUCAGAAUUUUGUCUUUUUUUUAAAUAGGGUGCCUGAAGACCAUUUCCCAGACUUUAGUUUUCUUCUAUUAUUUAGUGAAUACUUGAUUAGAUUUCUGGGCCCUGUCCCUCCUGCUUUUGAUGUGAAAAAUAUUGUGCCUGUUAUGGUGACCCUUGUGGAGGAUAGAACAUUAUUUAUUAUGUGAAGAUCCUGCUAAUUUAAUACUCAGAUCAAAACCAUGCUUGCAAGUUCUUAUGUCACAUCUCACUGUCUCUCCCAUGGAUUGACCACAGGUAGGAAGGAGGAGGACACUAUUAUUCAAGGAUUUGUUGUAACUGAUGAGAAAUAGAGGUUCAGAACACCAAUCCUGGAGGCGCAGAGAUCUAGGUUCAGACGUGGCUCUGCUUCUUCAUAUCUGUGUGGCUUUGGACAAACUGUUUAGCCUCUCUUAGAGUCCUCAUUAUAAAUUAGGAAUAAUACUUGCUAUGAUUUGAAUUUGUCCCCCAAAGUUUAUUUGUUGGAAACUUAAUCCCCAAUGGAAUAGUGUUGAGAGGUGGGGCAUUUAAGAGGUAAUUAGGUCAUUAGGGCUCUGCCAUCAUGAAUGGAUUAAUGUCAUUAUUGUGGGAGUGGGUUUAUUGUAAAAGUGAGUUCAUUCCCUUCUUGCUCUGUGUUAUGAGCUCUCUUUCGCUUCUGCCUUCUGACGUGGGAGGAUGCAGCAAGAAGGCCCUCGACAGAUACAGCCUCUCGAUCUUAGACUUCCCAGCCUCCAGAACUGGCACCAUACUGGCUCCUGGUGGGAACCAAGAUGAGUAAGACGUCAUCCCUAUCUCUAAGGAGGCCAUGACAGGCACGCAUGUAUCUAUAAUAUGGCAUAUAAGUCAGAAGAAUCAUGGUGUUUCGAAGCAGGGAGAGAACAUAUCCAUUAGGCGUGACCGUGAAAUGUUGUGAAGAGGACAGGACAUUUGGGACAUGCUUUGCUACAUAUGUAGGAUUGUAAUACAUGGUCAUAAGGAUCAGGGAAGUGUAGACAGAGGCAAUAGUAUGAAGCAGGAGAGACAGGGUGGGUUUGGGGAAGCACCCAAUUCAGCACAGGGAAGAUGUGAGGAAGUAGUGGGCAACAAACCUGGAAGGUACUUUGAGCCCACAUGGUAAUAAUAGUUGUUGGGAUAACAGGCAGGAGUGUUUUUACUUAGUACAGUAUAUAAUGAGGUGUUAUUAAAGAUCUUUGACCUGUGAAUAAAGUGGAUGCAAUAGGAGAGAUUACAGAUGUGGGUUGCCAACUAGCAGCAUAAAUAUGUGGUCAUGGAAUUCUGAAGUGGAAUAUUGGCAAAGGGAAGGGGAAGCAGGGACUAGACUCCAGAGUAUUAUGGUAUAGGAUCAUAGGAUCUAGAGGCUAUAAGGGCAGAUAAAAAGCAAAGAGUCACAAGUUACCCAGGCUUUUGGACCUGUGCUCUUGGGAGCAUGACCAUGCUACUAGCAAAAGAGGCAACAAAGAACACAUGGCUGGCUGGUGGGGAGAGGCUGAAUUUGGGGUCAUCCACAUGGAGUCGUCCAUCAAGUCUCAAGCCAUGAAGGAGCUCAAGGCCAGAGGUACAUAUCUGGGAGUUUUCUGCAUUGAAAGAUUCCCUUACCAGCUUUGUGAACUUGGAGGAAAAGUACUUAACCUUUUCAUAUCUCAGUUUCUUCAUCUGUAAAAUUGGAACAAUAAUAGACCUAGUCAACCAACUCUUAGAGCUGUUGUCAGGAAUAAAUUAUUUAAUACACACCAGGCACUUAGGGCAGUAUCUGGCAUAUAAUAAUUGCUCAAUAAAUGUUAGCUUUAUGCCAUCGACAUGUUGAUUAAGCAAUACUUCUUAGCUACAGUCCUAAAAGACAUUUUAUUUCUUCAGGGGAGAAGUUCUAAAUAAAAAUCAGGCAGAGAAACUUGGGAAGACUUAGGUGGCCUUUCUCAGAAGAAAUGUCUGAACAGAGGCCUGAUGGCUGAGUGGAAGUUCGCCAGAUUGAGGCAAGUAGGUUGGGGGAAAGAGGGGAGAGAGAAGAGUGCUCCUCAUAGACAGUAAAGGCGGGGUAGGGAGGGCAAGGCAUAGCCCGACGCCUUAUGGGGACUAGAGGCAGAUCAGGAUGGCUGUGGGGGUGUCUAUGGGACAUGGCUCUCUCUGAUUGGGAAAAGGCUGUGGGGGUGUCUGCGGGGGUGGGUGACGGUAGUGUGAGGCUUUUUCUUUGAAUAUGUCAGGUUUAGCACAGGGCCUCACACAAAGUUGGCAGGAAAUAAAUAUUGUUGAAAGUGAAAUCUAAAAAUUAUAUAGGUUUUUGGUUCUUCUUUAACACGAUUUCCCUUCUCACAAUUUAAAACCAUCAUGCAUCAACUUCCUGCUUCUCUUCACUGGAAAAUUUUAGGGCCAUCUUCAAAUGGUUCUUGGAUUGUAAGUCAGAGGGAGAAAACUCUCUCCGUGAGUUCUUCAAGGGGAAGCUGCCACGGAAUUUGUUUGCUGGUGGACCGAGUUUUCUCAGAUAGUGAGGCAAGUGAAGGACGGAAGCCUCAGGAUCGAGAAUUAUCAUUCAGAUAGGGUGGAUAAACUCGACUCUCUUUAAAACACAGGCUAUUCCAAGGGUUAUUUUCUUAAAAAAGAAUGUUGAUCAAUUGUAUCUUUCAGGACAUCAACUCUGUGUUGAAGUAUAAUUUAUGCUGCUCUUCACUUUGUCUUCUUUCAGUGAAUUAAACUAUAACCAAGCUGA